CGUAGGGCGCAAGCGUUGUCCGGAAUUAUUGGGCGUAAAGAGCUCGUAGGCGGUCUGCUGCGUCCGCUGUGAAAACUCGGGGCUUAACCCCGAGCCUGCAGUGGAUACGGGCAGACUAGAGGUAGGUAGGGGAGAAUGGAAUUCCCGGUGUAGCGGUGGAAUGCGCAGAUAUCGGGAGGAACACCGGUGGCGAAGGCGGUUCUCUGGGCCUUACCUGACGCUGAGGAGCGAAAGCGUGGGGAGCGAACAGGAUUAGAUACCCUGGUAGUCCACGCCGUAAACGUUGGGCGCUAGGUGUGGGAUCCUUCCACGGAUUCCGUGCCGCAGCUAACGCAUUAAGCGCCCCGCCUGGGGAGUACGGCCGCAAGGCUA
rnacentral:rRNA from 1 species